AGAGCUCCGCGCUCUGCGUGACGCUGACGCCCGCGAAGAGGGUCCAGAGCUCGCCCGACCUGCGUGGCGCUGCAGGUACCGGCCGCCCCCGCCACCGCCGCUGCCGCCACCCUGCGCACCCUCCCUCGCCGACCGCGCCCCCUGCGGGAUGUCGACGGAACCCGCCUGCCGAAUGCACUGCUUAUAGUCAUUUCUGCUGCUGCUGGCGCUUGAACUUCUUCUGCUUUUUUUUUUUCCUGCUUUUAACACGUGUUUUAAAUGACACUUUCCUUCCCUCCAUUUUCAUGCCACCUGGAUCUUCGCGUUCGCACCCUUUCUCGUACUGCAUCCUACUAUCGAGCUUUCGCGGCGCCCUCGGUGGGGGGUCUUCGGUGUGCGCACGACCCCCCGUGUAUCCACUCGGGCUCACGUCUGGAGCUUCGUAAAUAUCGCGGGGCUCCGUGCCGAGGGCCGUAAACACAAAUGCCGCGGGGAGGCGGGGCACUUUGCGAGUGACACCGAGAUUCGUUGCGACGGAUUUGCGAAUAAAAGAGCGAGUCGUGUUCGGCAGCACUUAGGCGGAGAUGGAGGAACUUGUUGUUGUAAAUGAAGAGCGGCGUCAAGGAGGCUCAACCGCCGCCCUCCCGGGGUUCAUUAGCUCCGUGGCUUUUUCAUCUCGCGUCGGGCCGAACGCUCGUCUCGGAGGCCCUCGACUCCGCCCCGUCGUCGGUCCCGCCUCGAUCCGACGAUUUGAAGCGCUUUUCGGCACAAAGUGCUUUUAAUAGAUGGUUGCGGUGGCUCUGGUUUCCUGCAGCGACCGCCCCCUCCGCCCCUCAGGGACCGACUGCCCGACCGCUAACCGCCCGCUCUCGGAGUCGGUUCCUCCCAGAACCCGUGUGCCGGUGACCCAGUUUGCGGGAUACUCGUUCGGCCUUCCGCGGGCUCUGGGGUUUGUCCCCCAAAUACGUGCCUCGCGUUGCUUAUCCCUCCAUCCGUCGUGGCUCUUAACCCCGCCCCUUCGGUACCUGAAGCAGGUGAGGCCAUUCUGUACGGCAGCAGUAUGAUCGUUAGUUACCGUUUCAUGUUACCAAAGAUACGAGCAAGUCGACAUCCAAGUGGAUGGGAGGGGGGGGCGGUAAAAAUAAAAUGAGGUUAUGGAGCAGCCCAGUCGAAAUCCUGAGCUGAAUCCAGCUGAGAUUUUGUGGCAAGAGCUGAAAAAGGAGUUUUGUGCUCAAAAACCCUGCGGCGUCGCUCAUCCGGAGCUCUUGCGCCCGGAGGAACGGGGCGAAACCGGCGCCCGGCGACGCGAAGGACCGACGCUCGGCUCAAAUCGGUGUUCGGUUGCAGUCGUCGCGGCUGCAGGUGACACCGGCGCUCGCUGAGUGUGAGGAGCGGUGACUUUGCCGCGUGGCGCCCGUCGGGCUUGAUUUUUCCCAUGGCGUUACUCGUUCACCGCCCCGCCCUCCGUCUAACGCUACACGUUAGGCGAAGAACGGAAAACGUUCGGCGUGGAAAAAGAUUUAAAAAACGCAGUAAGGGAGCAAAUACUCCAUCACUGGCACUACAGUAGGAGAUGGGAUCUGAACCCAAGUCCUGCGAUUUUGAGGCGACGGCUCUAAGCGGUACGCCGCCUGCUGGCCCUCAUGGUUCACAGCGCUCCCCCCCCCCGCUAUUGUCUCCGUGCCCCCAGCAUCCUCCUCUUCCUGCUCCAUCUCUCACUGUUGCCCAGAGCUCUUUCCAUUUCAUCAUCAUCAUCACCAUCACCGUCACCAUCAUCAUCGUCAUAAUCUGUGUAGAGUCGAUGAUGGUGUUUGUUGCAGGCUUGGCUCGAAUCCCUCGUGUGAUGCCGAAUCAGUGCGGGUUUCUCCCGUUUCACCUGAGAGGAGGUAACGACUCGCUCCGUCUGCGUUCGCCCCGGCUGACCUCCACCUCUUUCUUUUCAGGAAGCGAAUCUCACUCGUCCGACUCAGAUGCCUGGAGGUCGCGCAGCGCCACUGACGCCCUGGGCAACGGCGACGCCGGCACCACCUCUCUGGCCGCCAAGGGCUUCCGCAGCGUCCGGCCCAACCUGCAGGACAAGAAGUCGCCGACGCCGCCUGAGGCCCCGCCCACCCUCCCUGGAAAUGCCCCGCCAGACCCAUGCUCCUCCCCCACCCCUCUGGCCCCCUCCCCCUUCGAGCGCGCGGCAUCGCCCCUCACCGCGUCCGCCCUCAGCCACUACUCGUCCUCGUCCGCCGGCAUGCUGGAGGAGCUGCAGGUGGACUCCCCCCCCGGCACGGCCACGCCCUCCCCGACACUGUGUCUGCUGUCCGCUGCCGCCGACGACACCGCCCUAACCUCCACCGCCGUCUUCGCCACCAAUGGCGGCGCGGCGGUGAACGGAAGCACCGGCUUCGGUCAGGGAGCCUUCUCCCGCCCGGCCUACCCGCCGGCGCCCCCCUCCCUCAGCCCCGGUGCGGGAGCCCUGCAUUCCAGCUGGAGCGCAGGUGAGCCGGAGCGCCGCGGUCCCCCGAAUGGGUGGGCUGUUCACCGAGAACGUCACGAAUCCCCCCGUCGAACCCCCGCAGACCCGUCCUCCGCCUUCUUCCGGGAGCGCGAGUCCGACGCCGGCCGUGUCGCCGUGCCCAUCGCCCGCUUUGAGGAGGAGGAGAGGAGGGUGUCCAUCAUCAAGGCCCCCCACUACGAGGGCAUCGGCCCCGUGGACGAGUCCGGCAUCCCCAUCGCCAUCAGAACGACGGUGGACCGACCCAAGGACUGGUACAAGACCAUGUUCAAGCAGAUCCACAUGGUGCACAAACCAGAUGAUGACUACGCCGACUCGUACAGUGGCGCGUACGCAGCGAUGAACACAGAUGGACCGUCCAGCCUUCUCCACGCCCACCCUCCCCCGCGAACCCACACGUACCGACCUCUGUCCAAGAACCCCUCGGACAACGGCCCCGCCGCCCUCCGGGACCCGUCGCCUUCCCCGUCGGCCGUCUCUCCGUCGCCCCUGCCGCCGCCGCCCCCUCCCAUGCCGUCCCUGACUCAGCUGCAGCCGCGGGAACGGGAGCGGGAUCUACCGGACGCGAACGAGUGGGGACCCCCGGACCGGAAGGUGGACACGCGGAAGUACCGCGCCGAGCCUCGCAGCAUCUUCGAGUACGAGCCGGGAAAGUCCUCGAUCCUGGAGCAGGAGCGCCCGACAUCCCUGUACCUCGCUCCGGUGGACCGCGAUCCAGACAGACCGUCGAGCUCGGCCAGCGACUACAGGAAGCGGAGGAAGUCGGAGCCGGCGUUCAGCCAGCCGGGGCAGCAGGGCGACGGGAAUGCCCCCCAGCCGUCCCCGGGAUCGGGGGACCCGCACAGGAGCGGUAGCAGCGGCGCCGCCCGGAGGCCCCUGGCUCGAUCCUCGCCCUCCUCGCCCUCCAGGGUCAAAGGUGGGAAUAUGAGCCCAAUGUACUCACCGCAUUUAGGUUGUUCAGGUCCCGUCGGCGAAGGGCCGAGGGACCGGCGUCACCUGCGCCCGCCCCCCUCGGCCCCGUGCGCCACCGUCCCGCCGGACUCCAAGCGCUCCGUGUGGCAGACACACCGGCAGAACGCAGAAACAUGGAGUAGCGGCGAGGAAGCACCGGAGCCCCGGCUGAAAUCGCGCAGCUGCGACGACCUUCUGAUGGAUGGAGGCGGGGCUGGAGGCGGGGCCGGGGCGGGGCCAGGAAGGGCGCGCUCCGAGAGCCCCGCCCCCGACUCCCCUGAGCCGCGGGCCCGGCAGCGGCCGGCCCACGAUGUGCCGGGCUUCCUGCAGCUAUACCGGAAGAUGCACCGCAUUGAACGGCGCGAGCUGCUUGCAUCCGAGGUGAUCCGUUCGGUGCGCGCCCGCAUCCUGGAGCUGGAGGCCGAGAGGCAGCCGGAUCGACGCCCCGAGUGGCGGGAGCAGGGCCCCGAGGUGCCCCGAGACAUGGUGCCCACCCGCAUCUCCGAGUACGAGCGCCUCAUCCAGAAGUCCCGCUCCAUGCCCAACCUGGACGAGGCGGCGGGCUCGGAGGGCACGACGCCGCGGCGCCGCUUCUCCAUCGAGUCCCUGCUGGAGGAGGACCAUCCAGCGCGAGACUCGCCCGAGGGCCGGCCGCAGCGCCCCGACACCGGGGGCCCCCCGACCCCCGGCGCGCCUCAGGACCCCGCCCGCCCCCACCGCGCCGCCCCCGCCCGCUUCGACGGCUCGGACAGCGACCGCGAGGCAGCGCCCUCUGAACUGAGCGACUUCAUACAGGUGGAGGGCUCCUCCUUCUGCAGCGAGAGCGACUUCGACCGCUGCUCGCUCACUUCCUCCGAGAGUCUGUACGGCUCCGGCCGCCACCCGGUGCUGCCGCGCCUUCUGCACGGCUCCUGCAAGGGGCGCUGCCCCGCCUCCUACACCCGCUUCACCACCAUGCUCCGCCACGAGAGGGCGCGCCGAGAGCGACGGCCCCCGCUUCGCCGGGAGGAGGCGCAGCCCGGCCUUUCGAAGCUCGCCUUCCUGGUGAGCCCAGUGCCUUUCCGCCGGAGCAAGGGCUCGAACCCCGAGCGCGCCACCCGCCGCCCCAAGCGCGGCGCAUCCGUGUACGAGGCCCUCGACCGCGCCCUGCGCGACGUCUGUGAGCACCUGAGGGCGCGGGGCGGCGCCGCCGAGGACAGGAUCCUGCGGCGGCUGCUGGCCGAGCUGCUGCCCGAGGUACCGGACAGGGACUCGUCGCUGCGGCGCACCCUGCGUCCCUACUCCCCGCAGCCCGACGGCGCCCCCUACUGGCCUGACCACAGUGCCUCCUACCACCACACAGACUUCCGCGGCCAGAGCCACGCCUAUGCUGAUUACGGUCAAGAUCAGGACACCUCCAGGGGGUACUCCUACCCAGAGGGGGGGCGCUACACCUCCCACAAGAGGGGGACCACCCCAGACAAAGAGAAACAGCCUGCCAGGGCCAUAUAUGACUUCAAGGCACAGACGGCAAAAGAGCUGACGUUCAAGAAGGGCGACACGGUUAGCAUCAUCCGCCAGAUCGACAGCAACUGGUACGAGGGGGAGCACCGCGGCCGCGUCGGCAUCUUCCCCAUCUCCUACGUGGAGAAAAUCGCCCCGACGGAGAAGCAGCAGCCAGCCAGGCCCCCCCCGCCGGCGCAGGUGCGAGAGAUCGGCGAGGCGGUGGCCCGGUACAACUUCAACGCCGACACCAACGUGGAGCUGUCGCUCAGAAAGGGCGAGAGAGUGAUCCUGCUCAGACAGGUCGACCAGAACUGGUACGAGGGAAGGAUCCCGGAGACGCAGCGCCAGGGUAUUUUCCCCGUCUCCUACGUGGACGUCAUUAAGCGGUCGCCGACUACGCCGACCAGGAGCCCGGGUUCGCAGGGCUACGCCAGUGACCGGGACCGUUCGCACACCCCCUCCUCUUCCAAGCCCUCGUUCACCCCCUGUGGCCGCGGCACCCCCUCCCCCCCGCCGCGCCACCGGUCCCCCACCCCCCAGAGGGCGCACCUGCAAGCCGUCACCGACGAAUGGAUCUCCCUCACCUUGGGCCUCCCGCCGUCCUCCGGCACCCCCGCCCCCACCCCCCCGCCCCUCCCCUCCGGCCUCCUGGCUGACCUGGAUGUCCUCGACUCCCUGACGCCCCCCCAAGGAAGCCCACACCCCCCCACGUCGACACGCACGGUCCUCUCCCAGGAGGCGCUCUUCGCUCCCAUCGUCCCCACCGUGACUCCUCCCUGCACCCCGCCCCCUUACGUCGGACCUCCCUUCUCUCACCACCACCACCACCCCGCCUCUCCUGUGUUUGGCUCCACCCCCCGGCACGGAGGCAAACCCGGUGAUCCGUGGGAGAAGCGACCGUUGGACGUCAUCCUCACGGGGCGUCUCGACACCCACAAAAGCGCCCCUCCGGCCAGCGUUUGUGCGGGAUGCGCCGCCUUGUGGAGGAGAGCCGUUCCAGGCCCUCUACAACUACCUGCCACGCAACGAGGAUGAGCUGGAGCUGAAGGAAGGGGACCUGGUGGAUGUCAUGGAGAGGUGUGACGACGGCUGGUUCGUAGGCACGUCGAGAAGAACGAAGCUGUUUGGCACCUUCCCCGGGAACUACGUAAAGCGUCUGUAGGGCCCACGGGGCCCCUGGCGGCACAGCACCCACGUCACAGAGAGAGAGAGAGUGUGUGUGUGCGUGUGUGUGCGCGUGUGUGUGUGUGUUUUCUACACAGAGGAUAGCCUUUAGCUCCAACUAGCCACCGUUCCAGAGGACUCUCCCUGCCACAGUUCAGCACUUGCUUCGUUUUCAAACCGCGGGCUCCACUAGGGGGCAGUAUGGGGUCAGACAGAGGGGUCCCGGGGGUCGGAGGUCAGCUCGACGGCCUCCGAAACGGGAGAGUCGCUGCCCUGUGUGGAAUAGUGAUGUCAGCACACGGUAUGAUGUUUUGAGACCUUUUUCAGCAAAUUAAUAAUGAGCUUUUGUUUGUUUUUUUUUGUCUUUAUCGAUAUGCAAUAGAUGCAGAAAGAGAGAUGUAACAAACGUUUGGAGCAGAAGAUGUCGGUUAGUUGCAACGGCUCUUUUCCUAAUGCACAGCGCGGCCUGUCCAGAGACGCCACCACAGAUCGUGGUACAAAACCUUACGAUGGAACCAAGUGCCCUGUUCGCCUUCUCUCGCUCUCUUUGUUUGUUUAUCUUUCGGCGACGCGGUGUCCGUCCACAGAUGGCGUCGUUCCUCUCGCUGCCACGUUUUCCUGGUUUUUAGCGAGCGAGGUGGCGCCGGGCGACGUCCCGCCCUGCCCCGCGUGUGUGGAGCACCGGCGCGGCGAGCCACUCCGCCUCAUUUGCAUAACCGUGACAUCAUUUCAUAUUCGUGAUUGACGAGUGUGUGUGUCGCGAGACCCAGUGUUACUGACCUUUCUCCUCAGUAUAAUUAUUAUUAGUACAAUUAUUAAUAUUACAGACACUAGCGGUGCGUGAGGCUUGCGAGGCCCAGUGUUACUGACUGUUCUCUUCCAUAUAUAAAUAAGAGAGGCGAGAGGCUCCUUCCUCUCCACGUGUUUAAAGCUGUCAUGCGAAUGGUAUUUCGGAUGCGUUGCGCACUGCUCACAUGGAUGGACGAAGUUUCUUCUGUAGUGAAGAAGACCUUUUAUUCCCCUCCUUUUUCACUUUUGGCACUAAAGUGCAGCGUGUGUUUCGGUCGGCUCCCAAAUCCCUUUUUAACUUUGUGGUUUUAUGUGAUAGAAAACGCUGCGGACGAAGAUGCUUUUCUUUGAGUCUCUCCAGCUGCCUGAUUUACUGUCUCUACUUUGGCUGGCGGGCGAUUGGGGUGGGGGGAGGGGGGUUCCUUUCCACCUGCCUGGAGGAGACACAGCGGUCCUAGGAGAGGGCCGCCGGGCGACGUUGCCCUUUCCCUACCUUUCCGGGAGCAGCGGCCAUGCGCUGUGGGGUGCGAAUGCUGCCCGCUGCUGCCACGUGUGACUGAACAAUCCCCGGAGCACCUUAACCGCUUUUCUUUAUUUAAUCCCCACGAUAAUUCCUCUGCCACGUUGCCCCGUCUCUCUUCUGUAUGGAGCUCUAAUCACUGGGAGCCACUGGUUCAUAAAGACAUUUCUCAUUCUCCCGCUUCCAUUCCCUUCCUCCUCAACUGAUUUGCGCUUUUAAUCAUCGUCUCAUUCGUCGCAGCGCUCAGAGGAAAGCGGCGCGGUGCAGAAACGAGCUACAUUUAUGCAAAAAACACGUAACUAACUUGAUUUUCGACUAGCAGUGUUACCUGUUUGUAAUAAAAUAAAAGAAUGUGUCCCGAGACCUGUGCUCCUGUCCUGUCGCGGUGCCGCUCAGUACAGUGAUGAGCAGUGAUUUAUAUUGUGUGUGCGUGUGUGCACGCACGUGCGUGUGUUUCUAUUGAUGGAUAAUUGUGUACCUAAUAAAUGAUGCCUGAUUGCUUCCUACUGGUCACUGUCAUAGAACCUCAGUAAUGACACACUGCAGGGUUUCAGCCCAUUCUGCCUUCCCCCCCACGCUACACAAGGGAUUAAUCAGGGUUUGGACACAAGUACAGUGGCUCCUUGAGUUAACACACACACACAGCUGGGCCUUUGGAACACUCUUUUCAUUACUCCAGAGCCACUUCUACCACUAAGUGGUU